ACCAAGUCCAUAGAAGAUGAAGGCUAUUUCAUUAUCAUACUAUUCAUGCAUACACUAUUAAAGUAAUGAUACACACCUAAUAUGUGGGUUCCCCAUUCUGUAAUAUAUAUACAUGCAUAUAUGUUUUUACAUGCAUGAACGUAUAUGUCGACACUUGUUUCUGGUGUAUUGAGUUGGAGGUAAGUACACGCUAUAAUUACUAUACAAAACAUAUGUGUGUGAUGUAUCAUGACAUAAAUCACAAAGCUGUAUAAAUAUGUAGUAUAGUUUUAUAUGGGGAAGCUCCUAUAGAUCAUCAAAUGUAGAUAAUUAGUUGGAACAAUAAUAAGGGGGUCCAAAUAUUGGUCGGAUAUGAUGGGAUCCUAAUCAAAGGUAAAAGUGUUCUGUAUAUCAAAACUAUACAAAAUUUACAAAAAAAAAAACUAUCUAUAUAUUCUAUCUAAAGUUCAAGAAAUGUGAACUACUAGCCCAAGAUCAGAACUAACUAGUAUCCACUCGAAAAGAGAUACAUUUUAUAAUGUAAGAAAAAUUCAAUGCAAAAUUUUACAUUUUCUAUUUUUAGUCUUGCAUAGCUUAGUAGCAAGCAGAAGUAAAACAAAUGAAACAACCCAUGUUUAUAAUAAAAGUAAAAGCAUUUGGUGUUGCAAAUGAAUUAUGUAAUCUUCAAAUUUAAUUUCACAAAAGGAGGAAAAUAAUUUUCUUCUCAAGAUUCGGUGGAUGUGUUGAAAACCCGAGCAGAUUUAUAAAGUUUUACUAGGAAUACACGAACGUAGGCAGAAAUUUUAUAUCCCUCUCUCUCUAAACAAACCUCUAGCCUCUAUCUAAAAUACAAACGACCGUAGCUUCCUCCGGUGUUCGGCUCUCCCGCCGGCGCCGGAGGCCCCGUUUCCUUUCUUCUUUUCUCUACCCCCUCUAGCCCCUGCGUUGCGAUAUGCUCGACGUCUCUGUGUGUCGGUGGGUCUCGUGCUCUGUGACUUAGAUCUCGGCGGCCUUGGGUCUAGAUCCGGUGGCUCCUGCUCUCUAUUGGAGCGUCGGCGAGCUACCUGUGGUGGUUGGGGCGGUGUAGGGUCGGCUUUUAGGGAUUUCGGUGGUGGUGAUUUUUCAGAUCUGUUCUGCCUCCAGCCUCCACCUUUGAGAUUUGCAAAAUGGUCGGUUUGGUUUCGAUUCUCCAGUUUUUCCGAGGUUCUUGUGGUGUAGUGUCUCGGAGCUCUGGUUUGUUGGAUCGUGGAGUGGCGUUGAGCUCGUCUCCUCCGUUGGUGUCUCGGUGUGGCGUUGAGCUCGCCUCCUCUGUCUCCUCUGUCAGGUCAGGCACCGGUGUUUCUUCUUCGGUGAUUCGCGCAGUGCUCUGGUGGUUUCGUGUGUCUCCUCCUUUUUCUCUGGUCUUGCGUCUGUCGGCUCCGGGUGUGCUUCUUUGUGGCGUCGUCUAUGGCGAAACAGUUGCUCUCCAGGUUGUUGGCCCUCUCUUUCUCCUCUCCGUCAUUUGCAAUGGCUCCGUACUAGUUGCGUCCUCUCUCUGGUUUCGUCUAACCUUCAGGUCUUCGGUGAAGCGAGACUCCGAGAAGCAUUAGAACUGUGGUCCGAUUCUCGGAUGCAGAAGCUACCAAGCUUUCCGAGUGCUUGUGGUGGUCAACAGGUCUCGAAAAUCUUGUGGACUGUAGCUGUUUGACCUUGGCAUCCCAGUGCCAUUUUCUGGUCGAUUGGCCAUGUGAUGGUAGCUUAGGUCUUUUUCUUUUGGCUUGUAGGAUUGUUAAUUUAGUAAGUUGUCAUUGCUGCUAUCUCAAGUCCUGAUUUUUAGUUUAGCUAUCUUGGUAGUGUCGAGUGGGGUUACUCGAUUACUUUUCGGAUCUAGGUUUAAGAAUGUCUUAGGAUUUCGCUGGGUUCGUGUCAUGAUGCGUCGUUGGUCUCUGCUGGGUUCGUGCUGAGGAUAGGUGUGUUAGUCUCUGCUGGGUUCGUGCUGAGGAUAGGUGUCGUUAGUCUCUGCUGGGUUCGUGCUGCGAGUCUAUACGGUCUUGUGAUUUUAUGGUUCUCAAAGCGUCGUUAGGAGACCGGGAUUCGGACUUUGAAGCAUCGUCGGGAGACCAAGAUUCAUACCUUGAAGCGUCGUCGGGAGACUAGGGUUCGUGCGGAUUGAUGUCGUCGGUUAUCCUACCCGCUUUUGUGGUUGUUGCUCAGAACUUUUAGUACUGAAAUUGUUUCAGUUCUAAUGUUUGUUCUUUAAGCCUUUUUUCCACCUUUUUUUUGGGGCUUAAACAACUUAUGCUUUUUCAUUCUCAUCAAUGAAAUAUUUACCUUUUAGCAAAAAAAAAAAAAGAAAAAAAAAAUACACGAACGUAGGUAUAUAUGCAUAAAUAGAUAAGGUGAUUCUUUUGCUGAAGUAUGUUCCUCGGGGAUUGCUCCAAUUCUCUGACAGCUAUCAUUAAUAUCUCAUUAUUCAAGUAUACUAUUGAAUUCUAUGGGCGCCCUUCUUUUAUGUCUCCAAAUUCAAAAUCAUACAACAAUCUAGUACUCCCGAUAAGGUUUUUUUUAGAAUUUUCAUACUUAUUAACAAUAUAAUAAAUAUUUACUAUUUAAUUUAUUAUUUAUUUUAAUACACUUUUUAAUAAUUAUUGACUAAUAAAAUUUAAUCAAUUCAGAUAUUUACAAUUAAUUUUUCAAAAGUAUAUAAAAAAUUUAUUUUUAUGUAACAAAAAUAAACUUUAGAAAAUCUUACUUUCGAUAACAGAGAGAGAGUAUCUUGUUCAAAAUGUAACUAAUUUUUAUUUUUAUUUUACAAAAAGUGGUUUGAUUUAGUCUUUUAAAUGCUUAAAUUUUGAUUUUUUUUUUCAACUACUUAAUUAGGAAAAAAAUAUAUUAAUCGAUGUGUUUGUAGUUUGUACUAAUUGUUUCCUUCUUGGAUCAAAUACUUCAAGCGAAGAAAAUGAUUGACUCGACUUAUGAUAUUAGAGUGUUGGAUUUCGUGAUUGGAUCGGUUCACAUGGCUGAUGAUGUUUGACCACACCUGUCUAACCAAAUGCGUGUUUAGUUACUUGUUUCAGGUUAUGACGUUAUAUAUUUCAUUCGAAGAAAAAUCGCAGUUGUAACAAUUGAAUACUAGAACAGCGAUGUAUUCUUUAUUUACAACGAACAAGAGAAAACAUCGUAGCCAUCAAAUUAUUAUAGCCUAAGGAGAAAGAGAGCGUAAAGGGUGUCAUUUCAGAUACAUUAACUAGGACCGACCGUUUUUGGACACGAAUAUAUGGCUUAGCUGAAUCAGAAUCAAUUCUAACCGGAUAUUUAUCAGUGCAAUGUUCCCAGUGAGAGUGACUUAUUUGUUGAAACCUUGACAUUGCAUAGAGCCACCCAAAUUUAAACUCUGACCCUAAAGCAAUCUGCCAAACUUUAUUUACCUUCUUCAUUCUUCAUGUUGACUCUAUGCAUCAAUGCAUGCCAAUUCAUACCAUAUUGAGCUAGACCAAAGUAUUCCAAAUAUGUGUAACUGAUUUUGGGCUCCACAUCUGUCGGUGCUAGGUCUAAGUUCUUCUCUAGCGAAUUGAUCACAGCUCUGUCUCCAGCAUGAAUACAACAAUGGUCAAUAGUAAUGCUUGAAUUUAAUUUUCAACAGUUUUUUUUUUUUGGCGAUAAGUAAAAAAAGAAGUUUAUACUUGGGUCGUUUUUUUUUAUCAACGAGGCUUGUUCAAGCCUGCAUAUCGAUCUAGGAAACAAAAGGAAUCUUUCAUUACGUGAAAGUGGGCUUGGGUUAGGCCCAAGUUUUCGUUGACACCCACAUAUUUUGUUCUGCAGCUUAUUAUUAUAUUGCAUGGAAUCGGCCCAUUACUACGAGAUAUAACAUUUUCAUUCUUGGGAAAUGGGCUAUCUUUUCUCGAGAGAAUUCAAGAAAAUAUAUUUUAAAACAGCUCUAUUCUUUUAAGAUCCCUA
rnacentral:lncRNA from 1 species